GCUGCUUCUGCCUGUACCAGGAGACCUUCCGUGCCAGACUCCGGCUUCCUCUGCCACCUUUCGUCAUUGCCCUUUUUCAAUUCCUGGACAUUUCUCUGGCUUCGAUUGUACCGAACUCAUUUAGGUUUUUGAUAGGGUUCCUCUCUUUUUGUCAUGUAGUCGAAGUCCAGCCCACCCUUUCCUUGUUUAGAUACUUCUACACCUUCAAGC
rnacentral:lncRNA from 1 species